GUUUAGGAGUUCUACAGUGGUUCUGCCCCAUCUUUCUAAAAAUACAAUGGAGGAUCAGGGGUGUGUGAGCACCACCCCGCUUGGUCUUGGAGACGGAUCAAAUCCAGACUGAUGAAGAUAUCAGUUCUGAUGAAGAAAGCAAAACAUAAGGAGGUUAAGGAACUCGUCCUUAGGCAGAUACCUGUGACUAUGGCUGAGAUUUCUGUGACACCCUUUUCCACUAUCUCAGAAUAAUUAUUAACAUAAGACCUGAGCAGCAUCUAUCGGUUAAUAAUGAAUGGCAAUGGGGACAAAAUCAUAUAUUCUUCUUCAUAUAGAGCAAGCUUAAAACAACAACAACACUGGAAUAAAACAAGGAUGCUUACUUUCGCCACUCUUACUCAACAUAGGACUGGAAGUCCUAGCCAGAUCAAUCAGGCAAGAGGAAGAAAUAAAAGGCAUACAAACUGGAAAAA
rnacentral:lncRNA from 1 species